CCUACGGGGGGCAGCAGUGGGGGAUAUUGCACAAUGGGGGGAACCCUGAUGCAGCGACGCUGCGUGGGUGAAGAAGCGCCUCGGCGCGUAAAGCCCUGUCAGCAGGGAAGAAAAUGACGGUACCUGAAGAAGAAGCCCCGGCUAACUACGUGCCAGCAGCCGCGGUAAUACGUAGGGGGCAAGCGUUAUCCGGAUUUACUGGGUGUAAAGGGGGCGCAGACGACGAUGCAAGCCAGGAGUGAAAGCCCGGGGCCCAACCCCGGGACUGCUCUUGGAACUGCGUGGCUAGAGUGCAGGAGGGGCCG
rnacentral:rRNA from 1 species